rnacentral:rRNA from 1 species
GGCGAACGGGUGAGUAACUACAUCGGGAUCUAGCCCUGACGUGGGGGAUAGCUCGGCGACAGCCAGGAUUAAUACCGCAUAAGCUCUGAAGACGAAUGCGGGGGACCGUAAGGCCUCGCUCGCUUAUGGAGCAGCCGAUGGCAGAUGAGGUACGUUGGUGGGGUAAAGGCUUACCAAGCCUACGAUCUGUAGCUGGUCUGAGAGGACGACCAGCCACACUGGGACUGAGACACAGCCCAGACUCCUACGAGAGGCCCCAGUGUCGAAUUUUGGACAAUGGGCGAAGCCUGAUCCAGCAAUGCCGCGUGCGAGAUGAAGGCCUUCGGGUUGUAAACUGCUCUU